rnacentral:rRNA from 1 species
CGUGCGGCGGACUACCAUGCAGUCGAGCGGAAACGAGUUAUCUGAACCUUCGGGGAACGAUAACGGCGUCGAGCGGCGGACGGGUGAGUAAUGCCUAGGAAAUUGCCCUGAUGUGGGGGAUAACCAUUGGAAACGAUGGCUAAUACCGCAUGAUGCCUACGGGCCAAAGAGGGGGACCUUCGGGCCUCUCGCGUCAGGAUAUGCCUAGGUGGGAUUAGCUAGUUGGUGAGGUAAGGGCUCACCAAGGCGACGAUCCCUAGCUGGUCUGAGAGGAUGAUCAGCCACACUGGAACUGAGACACGGUCCAGACUCCUACGGGAGGCAGCAGUGGGGAAUAUUGCACAAUGGGCGCAAGCCUGAUGCAGCCAUGCCGCGUGUGUGAAGAAGGCCUUCGGGUUGUAAAGCACUUUCAGUCGUGAGGAAGGUAGUGUAGUUAAUAGCUGCAUUAUUUGACGUUAGCGACAGAAGAAGCACCGGCUAACUCCGUGCCAGCAGCCGCGGUAAUACGGAGGGUGCGAGCGUUAAUCGGAAUUACUGGGCGUAAAGCGCAUGCAGGUGGUUUGUUAAGUCAGAUGUGAAAGCCCGGGGCUCAACCUCGGAAUAGCAUUUGAAACUGGCAGACUAGAGUACUGUAGAGGGGGGUAGAAUUUCAGGUGUAGCGGUGAAAUGCGUAGAGAUCUGAAGGAAUACCGGUGGCGAAGGCGGCCCCCUGGACAGAUACUGACACUCAGAUGCGAAAGCGUGGGGAGCAAACAGGAUUAGAUACCCUGGUAGUCCACGCCGUAAACGAUGUCUACUUGGAGGUUGUGGCCUUGAGCCGUGGCUUUCGGAGCUAACGCGUUAAGUAGACCGCCUGGGGAGUACGGUCGCAAGAUUAAAACUCAAAUGAAUUGACGGGGGCCCGCACAAGCGGUGGAGCAUGUGGUUUAAUUCGAUGCAACGCGAAGAACCUUACCUACUCUUGACUCCAGAGACUUUCCAGAGAUGGAUUGGUGCCUUCGGAACUCUGAAACGGUGCUGCUGGCUGUCGUCACUCG